CGGCAUCAGCUCAAAUUUGGAAUCUGGCUUCUUUGGAGCCCGAGUUGUAAUUUGUAGAGGACGUUUCGGGUACCGCUACGGCUUAAAUUUCUUGGAACAGGACGUCAUAGAGGGUGAGAAUCCCGUAUGUGACUGGCUGCCUUCGCCUAUGUGAAGCUCUUUCGAC
rnacentral:rRNA from 1 species